GACGAACGCUGGCGGCGUGCUUAACACAUGCAAGUCGAACGGAAAGGCCCUGCUUUUGUGGGGUGCUCGAGUGGCGAACGGGUGAGUAACACGUGAGUAACCUGCCCUUGACUUUGGGAUAACUUCAGGAAACUGGGGCUAAUACCGGAUAGGAGCUCCUGCUGCAUGGUGGGGGUUGGAAAGUUUCGGCGGUUGGGGAUGGACUCGCGGCUUAUCAGCUUGUUGGUGGGGUAGUGGCUUACCAAGGCUUUGACGGGUAGCCGGCCUGAGAGGGUGACCGGCCACAUUGGGACUGAGAUACGGCCCAGACUCCUACGGGAGGCAGCAGUGGGGAAGAUUGCACAAUGGGCGGAGGCCGGAUGCAGCAACGCCGCGUGCGGGAUGACGGCCUUCGGGUUGUAAACCGCUUUCGCCUGUGACGAAGCGUGAGUGACGGUAAUGGGUAAAGAAGCACCGGCUAACUACGUG
rnacentral:rRNA from 1 species